rnacentral:tRNA from 1 species
GUGGGGUUGUGGCUCAGUGGUAGCGCGCUCACCUAGUAUGUGUGAGGCCCUGGGUUCGAUCCUCAGCACCACA